rnacentral:rRNA from 1 species
UGGGGGAUAUUGCACAAUGGGCGAAAGCCUGAUGCAGCGAUGCCGCGUGGGGGAAGAAUGUCCUAUGGAUUGUAAACCCCUGUCUUCAGGGAAGAAAAUGACGGUACCUGAGGAGGAAGCUCCGGCUAACUACGUGCCAGCAGCCGCGGUAAUACGUAGGGAGCGAGCGUUGUCCGGAAUUACUGGGUGUAAAGGGAGUGUAGGCGGGUUAUCAAGUUGAAUGUGAAAUUUAUCGGCUUAACCGGUAAGCUGCGUUCAAAACUGAUAAUCUUGAGUGAAGUAGAGGUCGGCGGAAUUCCUAGUGUAGCGGUGAAAUGCGUAGAUAUUAGGAGGAACACCAGUGGCGAAGGCGGCCGACUGGGCUUUAACUGACGCUGAGGCUCGAAAGCGUGGGGAGCAAACA